CCUACGGGAGGCAGCAGUGGGGAAUUUUGGACAAUGGGCGCAAGCCUGAUCCAGCAAUGCCGCGUGCAGGAAGAAGGCCUUCGGGUUGUAAACUGCUUUUGUACGGAACGAAACGGUCCGGGUUAAUACCCUGGGCUAAUGACGGUACCGUAAGAAUAAGCACCGGCUAACUACGUGCCAGCAGCCGCGGUAAUACGUAGGGUGCAAGCGUUAAUCGGAAUUACUGGGCGUAAAGCGUGCGCAGGCGGUUUUGUAAGACAGGCGUGAAAUCCCCGGGCUCAACCUGGGAAUUGCGCUUGUGACUGCAAGGCUGGAGUGCGGCAGAGGGGGAUGGAAUUCCGCGUGUAGCAGUGAAAUGCGUAGAUAUGCGGAGGAACACCGAUGGCGAAGGCAAUCCCCUGGGCCUGCACUGACGCUCAUGCACGAAAGCGUGGGGAGCAAACAGGAUUAGAUACCCUGGUAGUCCACGCCCUAAACGAUGUCAACUGGUUGUUGGGAAUUUACUUUCUCAGUAACGAAGCUAACGCGUGAAGUGACCGC
rnacentral:rRNA from 1 species